AUUGAACGCUGGCGGCAUGCCUUACACAUGCAAGUCGAACGGUAACAGGUCUUCGGAUGCUGCCGAGUGGCGAACGGGUGAGUAAUACAUCGGAACGUGCCCGAUCGUGGGGGAUAACGAGGCGAAAGCUUUGCUAAUACCGCAUACGAUCUACGGAUGAAAGCGGGGGAUCUUCGGACCUCGCGCGGACGGAGCGGCCGAUGGCAGAUUAGGUAGUUGGUGGGAUAAAAGCUUACCAAGCCGACGAUCUGUAGCUGGUCUGAGAGGAUGAUCAGCCACACUGGGAGUGAGACACGGCCCAGACUCCUACGGGAGGCAGCAGUGGGGAAUUUUGGACAAUGGGCGAAAGCCUGAUCCAGCCAUGCCGCGUGCAGGAUGAAGGCCUUCGGGUUGUAAACUGCUUUUGUACGGAACGAAAAGCCUCUUUCUAAUAAAGAGAGGUCAUGACGGUACCGUAAGAAUAAGCACCGGCUAACUACG
rnacentral:rRNA from 1 species